rnacentral:rRNA from 1 species
CNUUAUACAUGCAAGUCGAACGAGAAAGUCACUUCGGUGGCGAGUACAGUGGCGCACGGGUGAGUAACGCGUAGAUGAUCUACCCUUCAGUCUGGGACAACUCUUGGAAACGGGAGCUAAUACCGGAUAAAACCUUCGGGUUGAAAGAUUUAUCGCUGGGGGAUGAGUCUGCGUACCAUUAGCUUGUUGGUGGGGUAACGGCCUACCAAGGCGACGAUGGUUAGCGGGUCUGAGAGGACGAUCCGCCACACUGGAACUGAGACACGGUCCAGACUCCUACGGGAGGCAGCAGUAGGGAAUAUUGCGCAAUGGGGGCAACCCUGACGCAGCAAUGCCGCGUGAGUGAAGAAGGCCUUCGGGUCGUAAAGCUCUUUUAUGGGGGAAGAUGAUGACGGUACCCCAUGAAUAAGCACCGGCUAACUACGUGCCAGCAGCCGCGGUAAUACGUAGGGUGCGAGCGUUGUUCGGAAUUACUGGGCGUAAAGGGCGUGCAGGCGGAUUGGCAAGCCGGAGGUGAAAGCCCGGGGCUCAACCCCGGAGGGUCUUUCGGAACUGCCAGUCUUGAGAGGGUCAGGGGCCAGCGGAAUUCCUGGUGUAGAGGUGAAAUUCGUAGAGAUCAGGAGGAACACCGGCGGCGAAAGCGGCUGGCUGGGGCCACUCUGACGCUGAGGCGCGAAAGCGUGGGGAGCAAACAGGAUUAGAUACCCUGGUAGUCCACGCCGUAAACGAUGGGCACUAAGCGUCCGACGGGUUCGACCCUGUUGGGUGCUGCAGUUAACGCGUUAAGUGCCCCGCCU